UGUCAUAAUCUGGCAUCCUUUUGACUGGGAUGUGUAUAGUCCAUGGGAUGUGUAACCUGAGUUGAGGCAAGGAAAAGCUGGUGGAUGUGCUGUUUAAUUGGACCAGGGAAAGAUGGCUUCCUAACUACAGGUUUAGAAGGCUCAGUUUGUGAUCGUUUGGUCCCAUGUCCUUUGGACACAUGAUAGUGUGAUCCAUCACUAUGGGAAGCAUGUGGCGGAGAAAACUAUUCAUCAUGUAGUAGCUGAGAAGAAGAGAGAAACGGGAAGAAUGACAUCUCAGUAUUCCCACUUAUGAGACCUCCAAGGAAGGAGAUGCCAAGU
rnacentral:sRNA from 1 species